UCCCACUCUCUUCUGCCUUUCUCAGCUAUAUCGUUUAUCUUUCAAACCGAGCGGCUCUUUGACGCACAACACGCCCAAUAGUUAUUUUCGGAAGAAACUUCGGAAACGUUAAGGGACAUCAUACAUCCCGCUUUAUUCGACCGCGCGGGAAGUAACUGGACGGGGGGACGACGUAAGAUAUCGGCAAACAUACAAAUAUUUGUACAUAUAUAUAUAUAUUUAUUCGUUAGGACUCAAGACGCUCGAGCUGUUUCACUGCAUGUUUUUCGUGCUGAUCGCAUGUUGUCGUGCCCCUCGCGCUCUGUGUUUGUUUUUAUUUUUCCUACUCCGCACCGCGCGCCCGUCUGUGAUGCGCAAGAGGCGUUCAGCGCGAGCCGCGACAGAGAGACGCACCUGCUUGCCAGGUGUGAAGGUGCGCGCGCAAGGUAAAGUGGGCCUGCUUUAAGGCGCUCGCGCCUCACUCUAUUCUGUGUCGUUUAUUCGAUAGAACGUAACGGACUUGUGGGUUUAUGAGUCCGUCGCGGGGGUGUAGGGACGUAUUUCGUCGUACUUCUUGUGCACGUAUGCGAAUAUGUUUUGGAGACGGUGUAAAUAUGUCUUUAAUUGUGAACGAUAGCGUAUUAAAAGAUCAUUCAGCCCCGAGACGUUCGGUGUUUUUGAUCAAUUAUCACCAAUCUGGGUUCUCCGCUGUUUCUAUCUUCCAGGACAAGGAAGGAGAACAUGCCAGAGAGAGAGAGAGAGAGAGAGAGAGAGAGAGAGAGAGAGAGAGAGGGAACGAGAGAGGGAGAUAGAGAGAGAGAGACAAUCAUAAAGUUAUAUAUACUGUACAUCCAUACACAUCUGCCACAAGGUAUAUCGAUGAUAAUAAUUAUAUUGUAUAAUAUAUUUGAACGCUGGCUCUUAAUAUAUAAAAAAAAAUAUUCUUGUGCAAAUAUAACCUGUCAAAUAUGUGAAUCUAGUAAUGUUCUGUUUUGUUUAACGAUCAUAAGCCAUAAAUGUAUGAACCCUAUAUAUAUAGGCUGUUAAAUUAUAUAUAUAUAUAUAUAUAUAUAUAUAUAUAUAUAUAUAUAUAUAUAUAUAUAUAUAUAUAU
ensembl:lncRNA